AAAAUACUAGAACCUAGCCGCACCAGACUUCGGACGAGGCGGUGUAGCCGCAAGGAAGGAUAUCUCGGCAUUCAUAUCGACCUUAUCUGUCGAUCGCCGUGACGACGCGUCACGCCUUACACGAGUUGGCCGCCGCAGGUAGCCCACGGGAAACGCGAGAGCGGUCCGGCCCCGGCGCGCAUAAUAAAAGGCCGACCGACCGGUGGUCUCGGACCCCCCGUCGCCGUCUCCCAAAUUCCUCCGCAGGGACGCCCUACACUCCUCUGACCCUCCCCGUCUUCAGUCGCGUCCCGGCUGUCGGCGACCCGCCGUCGUCGUCGUCGCCAUGACUACCUCAAGACGUGUUGCUGAUAGGAAAAUUGCAGUAUUUGAGAAGAAUAUCACUAAGAGGGGUUCUGUUCCCGAGACAGUCAAGAAGGGAAAUGAUUAUCCUGUUGGACCUAUCGUGCUUGGAUUUUUCGUCUUCGUUGUUGUUGGGUCAUCUCUGUUCCAGAUCAUCAGGACAGCCUCAAACGCCGGUCUCUUCUGAGUAGAGUGGUGCUCUGCUUAUAGUGACGAUGAAUAGGGCUGCAAUAUGCAGUUGGUUGUCGGUUUAAAAUUAGAACUGAAUGAGAUAGCUGGUACUCUUGUGAUGCUUGUUAUACCUCUUACCAUUGUACUUGGUGGAGUUUAAGUUAUAUGGAGGUCAUACCAUUGGACUGCUAAUCUGUGUUGCUCGGGGCCUCAGGCCAUUGGAAACGUUCCAUUUUAUAUCUGGUUAUAGAACUUCUGAAUCAUAUAGUACUACUGUAUAUGAUUUGAAUGUGUUUGGUUGGUUUACUCUUACUAGUCAAUAUUCUGACUCGGAAUCUACAAGGGGCCAUAGGGCCUUGUCCUUGGGCACUAGUUCCCGUUUCGCCCAAAAUCAUGCAAGUGCAGGAUAUACAGAUUAAUAUUGAGAUCAAGCACGGCGCACAUGCUGGGAUCCGGUCAACUUGAGAAGAUCAAUCCCCAAAGCAGUGACCCAGGUUAUUUUUAGUGGAUGCAUCUUCUUUAACCUUCCUUGCUUAAGGAGGAGUGCAUGGUCCCUCGCAAAAAAAAAAGGAGUACAUGGUAAUAGUAGAAUUAUUUACAGAUACUGUCCUGACCCGGUCUGGUUGCACUGGUCAUCUCAGGUUACACUUGC
rnacentral:rRNA from 1 species